rnacentral:rRNA from 1 species
CACGGGGGGAGCAAGCGUUGUUCGGAUUCAUUGGGCGUAAAGGGCUCGUAGGUGGCUUUGUAAGUCGGAGGUGAAAUCCCACGGCUCAACCGUGGACACGCCUUCGAAACUGUGAAGCUUGAGGCUGGGAGAGGAAAUCGGAAUUCCUGGUGUAGCGGUGAAAUGCGUAGAUAUCUGGAGGAACACCGGUGGCGAAGGCGGCAUCCUGGACCAACACUGACACUGAGGAGCGAAAGCCAGGGGAGCAAACGGG